UCCCUGGUGGUCCAGUGGCUAAGACUCAGUGCUCCCAAUGCAGGUGUCCAGGUUCAAUCCCUGGUUGGGGAA
rfam:TPA: Bos taurus chromosome 1, whole genome shotgun sequence.